rnacentral:rRNA from 1 species
UACGUAGGUGGCAAGCGUUGUCCGGAAUUAUUGGGCGUAAAGCGCGCGCAGGCGGUUCCUUAAGGCUGAUGUGAAAGCCCCCGGCUCAACCGGGGAGGGUCAUUGGAAACUGGGGAACUUGAGUGCAGAAGAGAAGAGCGGAAUUCCACGUGUAGCGGUGAAAUGCGUAGAGAUGUGGAGGAACACCAGUGGCGAAGGCGGCUCUUUGGUCUGUAACUGACGCUGAGGCGCGAAAGCGUGGGGAGCAAACAGG